AUACGUAGGUGGCGAGCGUUGUCCGGAUUUACUGGGUGUAAAGGGCGAGUAGGCGGGUAAACAAGUCAGAUGUGAAAUACCGAGGCUCAACUUCGGGGCUGCAUUUGAAACUGUUUAUCUUGAGUGAUGGAGAGGCAGGGGGAAUUUCCCGUGUAGCGGGGAAAUGCAUAGAGAUUGGGAGGAACACCAGUGGCGAAGGCGGCCUGCUGGACAUCAACUGACGCUGAGGAGCGAAAGUGUGGGGAGCAAACAGGAUUAGAUACCCUGGUAGUCCACACCGUAAACGAUGGAUACUAGGUGUGCGGGGACUGACCCCCUGCGUGCCGGAGUUAACACAUUAAGUAUCCCACCUGGGGAGUACGAUCGCAAGAUUGAAACUCAAAGGAAUUGACGGGG
rnacentral:rRNA from 1 species